rnacentral:rRNA from 1 species
AGCGAACGCUGGCGGCAGGCUUAACACAUGCAAGUCGAGCGGGCGUAGCAAUACGUCAGCGGCAGACGGGUGAGUAACGCGUGGGAACGUACCUUUGGUUCGGAACAACACAGGGAAACUUGUGCUAAUACCGGAUAAGCCCUUACGGGGAAAGAUUUAUCGCCGAAAGAUCGGCCCGCGUCUGAUUAGCUUGUUGGUGAGGUAACGGCUCACCAAGGCGACGAUCAGUAGCUGGUCUGAGAGGAUGAUCAGCCACAUUGGGACUGAGACACGGCCCAAACUCCUACGGGAGGCAGCAGUGGGGAAUAUUGGACAAUGGGGGGAAACCCUGAUCCAGCCAUGCCGCGUGAGUGAUGAAGGCCCUAGGGUUGUAAAGCUCUUUUGUGCGGGAAGAUAAUGACGGUACCGCAAGAAUAAGCCCCGGCUAACUUCGUGCCAGCAGCCGCGGUAAU